UACGUAGGGAGCAAGCGUUGUCCGGAAUCAUUGGGCGUAAAGCGCGCGUAGGUGGCUUCGUAAGUCCGUUGUGAAAGUCAAAGGCUCAACCUUUGAAAGCCGAUGGAUACUGUGAAGCUAGAGUACGGAAGAGGAGAGUGGAAUUCCUGGUGUAGCGGUGAAAUGCGCAGAUAUCAGGAAGAACACCUAUGGCGAAGGCAGCUCUCUGGGACGGUACUGACGCUGAGACGCGAAAGCGUGGGGAGCGAACAGG
rnacentral:rRNA from 1 species